rnacentral:rRNA from 1 species
UACGUAGGGACCAAGCGUUGUUCGGAUUUACUGGGCGUAAAGGGCGCGUAGGCGGCGCGGUAAGUCACUUGUGAAAUCUCUGAGCUUAACUCAGAACGGCCAAGUGAUACUGCAGUGCUAGAGUGUGGAAGGGGCAAUCGGAAUUCUUGGUGUAGCGGUGAAAUGCGUAGAUAUCAAGAGGAACACCUGAGGUGAAGACGGGGUUGCUGGGCCAACACUGACGCUGAUGCGCGAAAGCCAGGG